CGCGCAGAUGGUUUCUUAAGUCUGAUGUGAAAGCCCACGGCUCAACCGUGGAGGGUCAUUGGAAACUGGGAGACUUGAGUGCAGAAGAGGAUAGUGGAAUUCCAAGUGUAGCGGUGAAAUGCGUAGAGAUUUGGAGGAACACCAGUGGCGAAGGCGACUGUCUGGUCUGUAACUGACACUGAGGCGCGAAAGCGUGGGGAGCAAACA
rnacentral:rRNA from 1 species